UUGUGGGGAGCAGUCCCACCGCGACCAGAAGCUGCCAAUAGCAGACGAAGCACAGGCACCCGACGGUGGGCAGGUGGCCGCGCCGUGAUGGUAUCCCAGCCAGCGGAACGAGUGCAAGACGAGGUGGGCCAGCACCCGCUGGUCCUCGGGGAACAACCUGGUGAUGAGGACGAGGAUGGCGGCCGGGAGCAGGCGCGAUCGACUGGUGGGCGUGGGCGCAGUCAGCGGGUCGCGGUCCGGUGGCGUGGUGCGAGCGCGGGAUGGCGGCGCAGGAUUCAGGGUGGGUGCGCCGGCCACGAGCAGGGGG
rnacentral:misc_RNA from 1 species